AUGGACACUCACUCCUGGUUCCUUCUUCCAGUCAAUAAAAACCGAUAUCUCGCCUUACGUCUCAGUACAGAAGAGAAGCCUCAAGCCCACAGGUCGGAGGUGACGGUUCUCUCCACUGACAUUGAAUGGGGAAGAAACAAUUUUCGUGGAAUGUUGCAGUUUGGGGUAGCGUGCUCCUUCCUUCUGAUUGCCUGCAGUUCACCCUUGGGCAAGCACAUGGAGAUCUGAUGGUGGAAGGGAAGAAGCUGUUCCUGAACUGCUGAGUGUGUGCCUUCAGGCUUCUGUACCUCCUCCCUGAUGGUAGCAAUGAGAAGAGGGGAUGUGUCAGAUGGUGGAGCUCCUCAAUGAUGGAUGCCACUUUGUUAAAGCAUCUCCUUUUCAAGGAGUCCUCAGAUUCGGGGGGGGGGGGGCUCAUGCCCAUGAAUGAGAUUAUCAUCCUCUCCAGUCUUUUCCAAUCCUGUGCAUUGAUUCUGCCA